AACGAACGCUGGCGGCAUGCUUAACACAUGCAAGUUGAACGCAGAAUAGGGCUUCGGCUCUAUUGCUGAGUAGCAAACGGGUGAGUAACGCGUGGGAAUCUACCUUCUUGUGGGGGAUAACUAAGGGAAACUUUAGCUAAUACCGCAUACGCUCUACGGAGGAAAGGCUUCGGCCGCAAGAAGAGGAGCCCGCGUCAGAUUAGGUAGUUGGUGGGGUAAGAGCCUACCAAGCCAAUGAUCUGUAGCUGGUCUGAGAGGAUGAUCAGCCACACUGGGACUGAGACACGGCCCAGACUCCUACGGGAGGCAGCAGUGGGGAAUAUUGGACAAUGGGGGAAACCCUGAUCCAGCAAUGCCGCGUGAAUGAAGAAGGCCUUAGGGUUGUAAAGUUCUUUCACCUGUGAAGAUAAUGACGGUAGCAGGAGAAGAAGCCCCGGCUAACUCCGUGCCAGCCGCCGCCGUAA
rnacentral:rRNA from 1 species